CAAUAGUCCCAAUAACAAUUUAUUUAGGGUACAAUCGACCCUAUCCUCACGCUGAAAUUCACUGAGAGAAUUCGAUAACAUCAGAGUUCAUUAAAAGACUAUUUUUCUCUAAUAUUAACCUUUAGGUGGGUUGAAGAUAUUUACUAGGUUAGUGCUGGGAAAAAGUCCCCACAACCGAAUAAUCAGUGUGAAACCUAACCUAUAAGUAUGCACAUUCAGCGGUGCUAUCUUUUGCAGCGGUGACGACCUGGUUCAGUUGUUUUCAAUAUUAAACGAACCGCUGGAAGAUGUCUAGGAGAAAGAGCAUUGAAAAUCCUGAGGUCCCUGGACUGGAACAGAACCUGCCUCCCCCACUCCCUCCCUUACCCCCAGAAAAAAUAUCUGAACCACCGGUACCAGAACCACUUCCAUCAGAAAAUGAAGCAAUUGUUCCACAAGUGAAUCUCUCGAUCAUCCCCAACCUUCCCCCACAGAUGAAUCCCCACGAUCAGCCGACUCCUCACGUCAUGCCACCAUUACCCUACAUGCCACCCCCUGUUCCACAACUCCCAGUGGGUCAAAUGAUCCCCUGGUGGGUGGCAAGAGACGCUGACAGCACCGGUAUAUAUUCCCAGUGGUCAAAAAGUCAAUCUGAAGCGUUUGCUCCCGAAAUAAAUAACGAGACUGGUGCUACUAAUUUCAAGAGGAAAAUCGAACAGGUUGAUCCUGCCAAAGACGCAGAAAAAGUCGCUAGUGCCCAAUCGGAACUCUCGGCCCUCAUGAAGCCUCUGCGCUGUGAUCUUUGCAAUGCAGUUAUGAAUUCAACACUGCAAGCGAAAUUACAUUACGAGGGGAAGCCACAUCAGAAAAAAGUCUCGAUGUUCCUUAAUCAGAGUGUUAAAAAAUUGAAGACUGACGAGGGGCCUAUUACAACCACCUCUAACGAUUGGAGUUCUUACUGUGAUGUCUGCAAAACUUGGUUUACGUCUCAGGCAGACGCAUCUCAGCAUUACGCCGGAAAGAAGCAUAUCCGAGCUACAACUGGUGCGCCAAAGAAAAAAAGUCCAAAGAAAAAUUCUGUUCCCCCACCGCCGGUGGACCCAACAGGGAGAUUCGGAAUCGGUGCCGGCUUUCAAUUGGAGCCCCAGAACCCUUCAUUUGUACCCGAAGCCGUAGUACCACUCAUUCCGAAUCCCCAGAUGUAUAACCCUGUAGCUACGACAUACUCAACUGCCUUGAGGUGCGAUCUCUGUGGAGUAACUGCCAAUCGCUUGGAACAACUAGAGACCCACAAGAAAGGGAUAAGACACCAAAAAAUGCUGCGAUUAAAUGGGGUGAUUCCUACGGAAACUGUCGUGACCACAAGCGAACACGUGGUUAGUGCAACGACGAUUGACUAUUCCAUCUGCAGAACACCAUCAGGUUCGUACUACUGCGCUGCCUGUGAUAAGUCCUUCACAUCGGAGAAUACCUUCGCCCAGCACGUAGAGAGUAAAAAACACAAAAAUCAAAUAAAUCCAAAACCACCUGGUAAUCAAACCCAGAAACCAUCAACUCAAGAUAAACAUAAGAAGCACAAAUGAUAGAAGGAAAUGUUCAAAUAGUUCUAUAUUUUUUAUUUCGACAAAGUGAUGAUAUUCUUAUGAACAUGUUGUGUUUCCUGGAUAAUAAAUAUGAUGUUCUUUGCUAGUACCGCUGGAACAAUCAUCAACCAUUUAUCAAUAAUUGGAGUUAGGGUAAAAAAAUAAGACCAGAUAAAUUUUUUCGAAUGUAAUUUGUUUCAAUCAUUUAUAAUUGCUGAUGGUGAAGAAACAUU